rnacentral:tRNA from 1 species
GACCCCGUGGCAGAGAAGUUAUGCACUGGUCUGCAAAACCAGGUACACCGGUGCGAUUCCGGUCGGGGUCUCCA